AGCGAGGUGGAGCAGCCUGGAGUGCUCGUCGGGCUCAUAACCCGAAGGCCGUAGGUUCAAAUCCUGCCCUCGCUA
rnacentral:tRNA from 1 species